UACGUAGGGUGCGAGCGUUGUCCGGAAUUAUUGGGCGUAAAGAGCUCGUAGGCGGUCUGUCGCGUCGAUCGUGAAAACUUGGGGCUUAACCCUGAGCUUGCGGUCGAUACGGGCAUGACUGGAGUUCGGCAGGGGAGACUGGAAUUCCUGGUGUAGCGGUGAAAUGCGCAGAUAUCAGGAGGAACACCGGUGGCGAAGGCGGGUCUCUGGGCCGAUACUGACGCUGAGGAGCGAAAAGCGUGGGGGAGCGAAACAGG
rnacentral:rRNA from 1 species